GUGAUGCGACUAGAGCGGAACCCGGAUGAGAUGGACCUAGAGCCCGAUGCUGGGGUCUUUGUUGGGCAAGCUGGGGGCGCUGAUCCUGAUAAAUUCCUGGGGGAGAUUGGCGAGCUCAGGGUGGUGAGAGACCCCCUCGCUGCUGAGAGACACUGUGAAGAAGAUGAAGAUGACUCAGAUAUAGCUUCAGGGGAAGGAAGCGGCUACAGAGAAAUAACACCUGCAAAACCUGCUGUGGAGAAACAUGAAUGGACG